UUGAACGCUGGCGGCAUGCUUUACACAUGCAAGUCGAACGGUAACAGGGAGCUUGCUCCGCUGACGAGUGGCGAACGGGUGAGUAAUGCAUCGGAACGUACCCAGUCGUGGGGGAUAACGUAGCGAAAGUUACGCUAAUACCGCAUACGCCCGAGAGGGGAAAGUGGGGGACCGCAAGGCCUCACGCGAUUGGGUUGGCCGAUGUCCGAUUAGCUUGUUGGUGAGGUAAAGGCUUACCAAGGCGAUGAUCGGUAGCUGGUCUGAGAGGAUGAUCAGCCACACUGGGACUGAGACACGGCCCAGACUCCUACGGGAGGCAGCAGUGGGGAAUUUUGGACAAUGGGGGCAACCCUGAUCCAGCCAUUCCGCGUGAGUGAAGAAGGCCUUCGGGUUGUAAAGCUCUUUUGUCCGGAGCGAAACGGUUACGGUGAAUAUCCGUGACUACUGACGGUACCGGAAGAAUAAGCACCGGCUAACUACGU
rnacentral:rRNA from 1 species